ACUCCUGACCUGGUAAGCUGUAGCGAGCGCCAGUAUCUAGCCUUGGAGCCGAAGUCGUAAGAUUAGGUUUAAGCGUAGGCAAGAAAGUUUUAGAACCCAAAGCGAAAGUUGAAUCCAAUUUAGCCUCGAAAAUAUAUAUAGUUGCAGUGGGUGAUACUCUCAUAGAAGUCGCAGCCAAUAACACGUUUCUUAAAGCUAGGAAAUUAUGUCACUGCCGUGGUUUG
rnacentral:ncRNA from 1 species